GGUUGUUUACCGAUAUGCAUGACAGAAAAACGUGCGUCAAGCUGGAGAUGCUUAACAAUAGCGUUUCUGGUUUGUAAUAUAAUAUCAGCAGUUGUGUUUUCAUCAACUGUGUUUGGUUUAGCAGUUGUCGGAGCCAUUAUCGCUGUUUUUGAUACAAACACCGGAAGUGUUAUUGCAGUGUCUGCCUUCCUAGCUGUAUUUUCUUUCAUCGAAUUCAUCAUAUCCAUAGUUGCUGCAUCACACUGCUGCUGUUGUUCACAGCUCAAUACGGGAAAUCAACAAGGAGUCAUAUUUAUGAACACAUCAGGAGUGAUGUAUAACAUGCCAAACACUCAAAUACCUACAGGGAACCAGCAAGGUUACCAUCAAAUGUGGAUGCCCCAAAUGCAAGGCUACUAUGGUCAACAGCCGGCAAAUAUGCCUAAUUAUCGACAACAAGCAGGUCAUUCACAAGGAAAUCAGAUGCCAUUACAAGCACACUAUGGACAGCAACCACAAUCAUUUGAGAUGGCUAACCAGCAACAAAACAUAAACGCACAGCAGUUUGUACACCCAACUGCACCUGCUGAAGAUAAACACCAACCAGUACCUGUUGCCGACAAUUGUAUUAGAAGUGAAAUGUAGUUAUUCGUCAAAUUUAGAAUAACUCAAAUACUACAAGUGGCCUGCCCUAUGACAUGAAAUUGUAUGACAAUUCGGUGUAAGAAAUAAUUUGAACCGAGUGAGGAAAUCCCUGUAAUUUCUUUUUUUUCAAAUAUUUCAUUGCUAGUUUUCCUUCACGUAAAAGUGAAUUUCAAUUGUUAAAUAUGUUCAAGUCAGAUAAAGUUGUCUCGUUAUUUUAUCCAUCUAUCGUCUUGAUAAAAAUUGAUAUUUGUAAUCUAUUGGACUAUUGAUUACUGAAAAAAGUUUAACUCUGCAACUUCUGUAAUCAACUGGCCGU